UGGGGAAUUUUGCACAAUGGGGGAAACCCUGAUGCAGCGACGCCGCGUGAUUUAGAAGGCCUUCGGGUUGUAAAAAUCUUUUCUAUGGGAAGAAAAUGACAGUACCAUAGGAAUAAGGACCGGCUAAUUACAUGCCAGCAGCCGCGGUAAUACGUAAGGUCCGAGCGUUGUCCGGAAUCAUUGGGCGUAAAGGGUACGUAGGCGGGUAAGCAAGUUAGAAGUGAAAUCCUAUAGCUCAACUAUAGUAAGCUUUUAAAACUGCUCAUCUUGAGGUAUGGAAGGGAAAGUGGAAUUCCUAGUGUAGCGGUGAAAUGCGCAGAUAUUAGGAGGAAUACCGGUGGCGAAGGCGACUUUCUGGCCAUAACCUGACGCUGAGGUACGAAAGCGUGGGUAGCAAACAGG
rnacentral:rRNA from 1 species